rnacentral:rRNA from 1 species
CCUACGGGAGGCAGCAGUGAGGAAUAUUGGUCAAUGGCCGUAAGGCCGAACCAGCAAAGUAGCGUGAGGGAAGACUGCCCUAUGGGUUGUAAACCUCUUUUAUGCGGGGAUUAAGGUGUCCACGUGUGGAUGUUUGCACGUACCGCAUGAAUAAGGCCCGGCUAAUUCCGUGCCAGCAGCCCCGGUAAUACGGAAGGUCCGGGCGUUAUUCGGGUUUAUUGGGUUUAAAGGGUGCGUAGGCCGGUCUUUAAGCUGGCCGUGAAAUUUUGUGGCUCAACCAUGAGAGUGCGGCGCGAACUGGAGACCUUGAGUGCGCGGAAGGAAGGCGGAAUUCGUGGUGUAGCGGUGAAAUGCUUAGAUAUCACGAAGAACCCCGAUUGCGAAGGCAGCUUGCCGCAGCGUUACUGACGCUGAAGCUCGAAAGCGUGGGUAUCGAACAGGAUUAGAUUCCCUGGUAGUC